CUUUAUUCACCCGCAGGUACCCCCAGAUCGAUCCCCCUUCAUUGACUCCGAGGGGAUACAGCAGCAAUUCAUGUUUUGAAGUGUUCUAAAUGGUUCAAAACGUGAGGCGCUGCUAUACCCCCUCGUGGGGAAGGUAGAAGGUGGGGUCUGCCGGACGCGUGUUCCUGCCACCAGGUGCCCGCUCCCCGCGAGGCCGGCUCAGGAGCAGAAGGAAGCCCGGUGCCAGCCAGCCUUCCUGAAAGACCAAGCCCGCGCCAUCCGGCUUCCUCCAGUGGACGCCUGCAGGACCCAGGAACACUACAUCAACACUGUUGGCGGGGACCUGGACACAGAAGACUCCUGUUUCAAGAAAAUACAAUCAUCUCUCAAAGGCUGUAAUUUAUAUGCAUUUUAAAACUCUAGGCAUUGAAAACCACCCAAGUGUCCCAAAUAGAAGGGUAAUAUAUAAUCAAUCACUCAGUGUAAUAUUAUACAUCCUUUAAAAAUGUUAUUGGGAAAUGUUUUAUGAUCUGUAAGUCCAAGGAAUCCUCUCCCACCAUUUCUUUCCCCCCGCUGUUCCCCCAUACCCACACUUCUUUGUUCCAAUUGGCAUGUAAAUUUGGUUUUCCCGCCAAAUGAGUCAGUCAUGAUGGGAACCUCAACUGAUUUGAACAGAUGUGUGUCAAUGUUACUUGGAAAACUAGAUGUCAAUAACCAGGGUCACAGAAAAAGGCAGUGGUCACAACUCUGUAAAAAUGUAUGCAUGCACACAGACAAGAACUAAAGUGGAACCCCAC
rnacentral:lncRNA from 1 species